rnacentral:sRNA from 1 species
AGUGGAUAAAAUCCUACUUGUCCAUGAGGGAACAGUAAAAGAGGAAGGAACAUAUGAAGAAUUAUGCCAUAGUGGCCCGUUGUUCCAGA